UUGAUCCUGCCGGACCCGACUGCUAUCAGAGUGGGACUAAGCCAUGCGAGUCAACAUAGCAAUAUGUGGCAUACGGCUCAGUAACACGUAGUCAACAUGCCCAGGGGACGUGGAUAACCUCGGGAAACUGAGGAUAAACCGCGAUAGGUCAUCACUUCUGGAAUGGGUAAUGACUUAAAUCUAUAUGGCCCCUGGAUUGGACUGCGGCCGAUCAGGCUGUUGGUGAGGUAAUGGCCCACCAAACCUGUAACCGGUACGGGCUCUGAGAGGAGGAGCCCGGAGAUGGGCACUGAGACAAGGGCCCAGGCCCUAUGGGGCGCAGCAGGCGCGAAACCUCUGCAAUAGGCGAAAGCUUGACAGGGUUACUCUGAGUGAUUUCCGUUAAGGAGAUCUUUUGGCACCUCUAAAAAUGGUGCAGAAUAAGGGGUGGGCAAGUCUGGUGUCAGCCGCCGCGGUAAUACCAGCACCCCGAGUGGUCGGGACGUUUAUUGGGCCUAAAGCAUCCGUAGCCGGUUCUACAAGUCUUCCGUUAAAUCCACCUGCUUAACAGAUGGGCUGCGGAAGAUACUAUAGAGCUAGGAGGCGGGAGAGGCAAGCGGUACUCGAUGGGUAGGGGUAAAAUCCGUUGAUCCAUUGAAGACCACCAGUGGCGAAGGCGGCUUGCCAGAACGCGCUCGACGGUGAGGGAUGAAAGCUGGGGGAGCAAACCGGAUUAGAUACC
rnacentral:rRNA from 1 species